GAUCUCCUUACUAUCACCUGGGAGAAAUCCCACCCCGGCUACCCCCCCCUGGCUCUUGGCCCUGCCUUAGUGCUUGGAAGGUAUCUAGAACCUCAAUAAAUUUCCUGAAUUUUCUUGCCUUUUCAACCCACUUAUUGCUCACUCCCUCAGUCCUGUUACCAAAUACCUUGGCUUAAAGACACAGCUGCCAGAACAGGUGAGUAUAAAACACCUUUUCUCUUUUCCCUUUACCCCUUAAGUUAAAUUGGGGUCAACAGGAUUUUUUUUUCCUUCUCCUCUUUGUCUCUCAUUUCUGUCUCCUUUUACUUUAAGGAGGUGGCUCAGUAGAGAGAGGCAGGCCAGGCUUACCUAAUCAACUAAGCAAGGAGGAACCUCAGGAGAAGGAGCUCUUAGGAGCUCCUAGCCCGCAAAAAACAGCUGAAUACAGCUAGGGAGCUAACUUAAAACCAAUUUUUUUUUCUGUUUCCUGGCCUUUCUAGUCUUAAAAAUUUAAGUGGGCUUUGCUCAAGGAAGAUAGCACAUGGUCAUAGGGGCUUUAGCCUGAGGGCCAAAGAAGAUUGCUGGGACCCACCCACAUACACUUUGUAAAGAAGGAGAAUUUACAAUACAAUAGGCCCUUAGCCUGUAUAGGGUGGUAGACUCAGAGCCACCUAUUGUAAAAAGAAAAAGCCUGUGGAAAGUUUGCUGCUUUGCCCUGCUCCCCACUUGCUUUGUGAAAUUACAAAAUAUACAUAUAAAAAUGAGUACUAUAUCCUUUGACAAUUAUAAGGCAGCUGAAGAAGUAGGGGCAUUGAGGAAUGAAGGAUACCUCCAAAUUUUUAUAUUAAUAGGUACUGUCAUUUUUGUACUCCUCAAUACUAUAUUUAGAGAUGAAAAAAUAAAACAAAUUGAGGAUAAAAUAAAACAAAAUGAGGAGAAAAUAAAACAAAAUGAGGAGAAAAUAAAACAAAAUGAGGAGGAAAUAAAGCAAAAUGAGGAUAAAAUAGAAAAUAUUGAGGAUAAAAUAGAAAAUGUUGAGGAUAAAAUAGAAAAAAUUGAGGAUACAAUAGAAAAAAUUGAGGAUAAAAUAGGAAAUAUUGAGAAUAAAAUAGAAAAAAUUGAGGAUAAAAUAGGAAAUAUUGAGAAUAAAAUAGGAAAUAUUGAGGAUAAAAUGGGAAAUAUGGAAGAUAAAAUAGGAAAAAUUGAGGAUAAAAUGCAAGCCCAAUUAGAAGAUCUAAAAAGUUUCUUACAGGAUCAAUUGACAAACAACCACUCUACCAGAAAUAGACCUGUUUCUGAACCUUUGAAUGAGGAAAUUUCCUUCCCUGAAAUAGAGAUGGAAAAUACCUUUCCUAUAGCCAAGUUAACAGACUGCUUCUCUCGUGUAGUGCAAAUCUUGUCUGAAUUUAAUCCCCAAAACCCUUCCCCGGCAAUCCCAGAUUCUCAUGUUCCUUCUCCUACAGAAAACCAAAUUCCAAUGCAAGAGAGAUCUUGUCCCCCUAGAAAAACCUGUCCUUGUCAAACUGACCCACAGGUGCAAAAUCCAACUAGAGGCCUGUUUCCUCUAAGAGAAGUACCUGAAAUAGGACGAAAUGGGGAUGUGGUGACUUUAAGACAUAGGAUACCGUUUACUCCCCAAGAAAUAAAUGAAUUUACACGAAAUAUUCCCACAUAUGAACAAGAUCCUUUUCUAGUAACAAAAAAGAUGGGAGACAUAUUUUUUCAGUAUAAUCCGUCUUACAAGGACGUUGAGAGCUUACUCCAGGCUUUUUUAAGUGAACGUGAAAAAAAUAAAAUAAUUGCUCAUGUCAACAAAACCAGGGGGCGUAAUGCAGCACAUUGGCCAUCUCAGGAUCCCGAAUGGGACUAUAACAAUCCUGAGGAUUAUCUACAACUAUACUGUUGUAGAGAGGCCAUCCUCACGUCCAUGAAGGAAUGUGCGGACAGUACAGAUAAGUGGAUGGAACUGGAAAAAAUUAAGCAAAAGGAAAAUGAAACACCCUCCAGAUUUAUGGACAGAAUUAUCGAGUUUGGGGACAGAUACUUAGAUUGGGACUUAACUAAAGAGAGUAGUAUAAGACAAGCUAGAAGAAUCUUUGUAAACAAUUCUUGCAAAGCAAUUAAAAAUUAUUUCAAAACACAAUGCCCAAGAUGGUCAGAUAUGGACCUUGAAGAAUUGCGAAAAACAGCUAUAUAUGUUUUAAAGGGAAACGAAGAAAAGGAGAAAGAAAAUGAUGAUGACAUGGAGGAAAUGAAGAAAAAAAUGAGAUAUUUAAUAGAUAGGAUAACUAAAUUAGAAAGUGGGCAGGGUAAUGAACCAACGACAAUUGCCCCUCUCCAGAAAUCCAAUUAUCAAUCCAUUACUUGCCACUUCUGUGAGAAGAAGGGCCACAAAAUGAUGGAAUGUAGAACCUUUCUUAAGAUGUUUGGAAGGAAUACACAG
ensembl:lncRNA